AUCGCUUCUCGGCCUUUUGGCUAAGAUCAAGUGUAGUAUCUGUUCUUAUCAGUUUAAUAUCUGAUACGUCCCCCAUCGGGGGACUAUAAUAUAAAUGGAUUUUUCGAACAGGGAGUCGGAAGCGGGGCUUGCUCCGUCCGCUCCACGCAUCGACUCGGUAUUGCAGUACCUCCGAGACGAGAACGUUGCACCCUCU
rnacentral:snRNA from 1 species